AAGUCGUAACAAGGUUUCCGUAGGUGAACCUGCGGAAGGAUCAUUAGCGUAGAUGUGCUGCCGGUGGCAUGUGCGAAAGCACGGCCCCGCUGCACACAACACACACACACCUUGUGAACCAGGAACCGUGUGCUCGGCACGACUGGAGGCACGCAAGUGUCGCCAGUCUGUCGUCCUAAACAUUUGACAAAUACAGUUAAUUGACGUUAUAGUGUGCUUCGGCACGAUCUAUCAACCAAACACACAACUUUUAACAAUGGAUCUCUAGGCUCCU
rnacentral:misc_RNA from 1 species